rnacentral:rRNA from 1 species
AUUGUAAUUGGAUGAUAAAAAUUUAAAUACUUUUUACAGUAUCAAUUGGAGGGCAAGUCUGGUGCCAGCAGCCGCGGUAAUUCCAGCUCCAAUAGCGUAUAUUAAAAUUGUUGCAGUUAAAAAGCUCGUAGUUGAAUUUUUGCUAGAAAUAACCGGUCUGCUUUUAUUUAUAAGAGUGGUAUCUUGGUGUGUUUUUAGCAAUAAUGUCCUUUGGAAUGUUUUUUACUUUAUUGUAGAAUGCAAUUUUGAGGAUUUUUACUUUGAGAAAAUUAGAGUGUUUCAAGCAGGCUAACGUUUUGAAUACUGCAGCAUGGAAUAAUAAAAUAGGAUUUUAGUUCUACGUUAUUGGUUUUAAGAACUAAAUUAAUGAUUGAUAGGAGCAGUUGGGGGCAUUUGUAUUUAACUGUCAGAGGUGAAAAUUCUUAGA